rnacentral:rRNA from 1 species
AUGAACGCUAGCGACAGGCCUAACACAUGCAAGUCGAGGGGCAACGGGGCGUAGCAAUACGCUGCCGGCGACCGGCGGAUGGGUGAGUAACGCGUAUGCAACCUGCCUUCAGCAGGGGGAUAGCCCGUUGAAAGACGGAUUAAUACCCCAUAACACAGGGGCUCCGCAUGGAGAUUAUUGUUAAAGGGAUGCUUCCUUCGGGGGUAUUCCGGCUGAAGAUGGGCAUGCGUUCCAUUAGGUAGUUGGUUGAGGUAACGGCUCACCAAGCCUACGAUGGAUAGGGGAACUGAGAGGUUGGUCCCCCACACUGGUACUGAGACACGGACCAGACUCCUACGGGAGGCAGCAGUGAGGAAUCUUGGUCAAUGGACGGAAGUCUGAACCAGCCAUGUCGCGUGAAGGAGGACGGCCCUAAGGGUUGUAAACUUCUUUUGCAGCGGAAUAAAGUAUUCCACGUGAUGGGAUAUUGCAAGUACGCUGCGAAUAAGGAUCGGCUAACUCCGUG